ACCUGAAAAUCAGAAACAGCUGUACUGGCCCACAGAGCCGUGACAGAGCACAGGUAGCCAGACUCUGAGUGGGGGACCCCCCGAGCUGUCAGGGAUGAGGUGCUGGGAGCAGAAGUGCAGCCAGAGUGAGGAGCACGCCAUCCACGGCCUACCUGUUCAUCCCGCAUUAGACAGUCUUUUAAAGCCGCAUACUGUAAGGGGGGCACAGGGGACAGGGAGGAAUUGCCUCGUUCUAUAAACAGUUGUCUAGCUCUAUAAACUCCCUGUUUUAUUUGAUCUGAGUGGCUCCUUAGCACAAUGAGUUUGCACAGCCUCCCAGAAUUUGCUGUGUGGCAUUAUUACUUUUGUCCUUUUAAUUCUCAUUCCUGAGCACGUGGGCCUAAUGAGAAGAUGACGACAGCUACUUGGAAUGUGCCCCUCCUCCUUUGCCGAGGGGCCCAGAGCUGAGAGCCCACAGCAUUUGUCUCUGGAGCUCAGCGAAGGGGGAGGGCACAAGAUCUGCUGAAAUAAUGAGGGCUAGGGUGUUAGUUUAUUAAAUUUGAUCUCUGCCCCAGACCAUCUUGCAUCUGGAAGCGGGACUGCAGACAUCUUCCAGACACUCUGAGCCCUUGGAAGGAAAGUAUUCACUCAAGAGAAUUUGACUUGGUCACCCCUCAGGGCACUGGAUGCUGCUGGUGGGGGUCGUCCCUGGUGUGGCCAGCCCAGAGACAGCCUCCCUGAGCUCUCUCAGGCUGGCUCACAGACAGCAGGCCCACAGCCUGGAAGAACCUGCUGGAGCUUAAGGUCUCCUGACAGAGCCUGUGAAGACUCCCAGUUCCCUCCAUACCACGAUAAGGCUUAAGAAGAGAGCUUCAGCAGGGCUCCUUUGCUCCUCCACGAAAAUUAAGACGCAACCUGCUAAUUACCCUGGGUGCUUUAAAAAUGUGGGUGAAAAAUGAUCCUCAAUAAAGGCCCUUUUUCGAUUCUACAAGGAGCAGGAAGAGGUCCAACAGAAUCCCACAGGAAAGAAGAGUCAUGGAGCUACAACAUGAGCCACCUCCCAGAGCAUCCUGGGGGAUACAGGAAUGGCCCGGGUGGUACCAGAGGGGCGUGGCCUCAUGGGAGGCAGGAGCGUCCCUUGCUUUCCAGGGCACCGCUGACCAUGACAGCGGGCCCCAAAGGAGGGGUAGCACCUACCACUUGAAUUUGGGGCCUCGGGUCCGUUCCAGUUCUUGCUGCCUCGUCAGCUCCAACACCCACUCUUCCUCUGCCCGAAGGCACUGCAAACGGAGUCGCCUCAAGGCUUUCUGAAUGGGGGCCGUGGUCCCCAGGGACUGAUGUACAUGCCCUUCUUUGAGGGUCUGGAAGAACCUGAAAUGAACAGACUUGGGGUUCUAAGCUGUCAUGGUACCCUGUUUCUGGUUCUGGACCCCCAUAGCCACUCCCCAAGUUUCCCUUGCCCCAUCUGACUUUAUUAGCCAAGGAAUCACUUGCCAAACAAUGGGUGUGCUAGUGACUGGCCUUAGGCAUGGGUGCCUACCUGAACUGUAUCACCCUGUGGCAUCUGGGCUGCAGUAGGUGCCUAAUAAAUAGUUGCUGAAUUAUUGAAA